rnacentral:rRNA from 1 species
CUUAACACAUGCAACUCNAACNGGCUCUUCCGANCUAGUGGCGGACGGGUGAGUAAUACAUAGGUAAUCUGCCUUUAAGUGGGGGACAACCAGCCGAAAGGUUGGCUAAUACCGCGUAAUGUUGUUGGUUGAGAUACUGACAAAGAAAGAUUUAUCGCUUUUAGAGGAGCCUAUGGUUGAUUAGCUAGUUGGUGGGGUAAAAGCCUACCAAGGCGACGAUCAAUAGCUGGUCUGAGAGGACGAUCAGCCACACUGGGACUGAGACACGGCCCAGACUUCUACGGAAGGCAGCAGUGGGGAAUUUUCCGCAAUGGGCGCAAGCCUGACGGAGCGACGCCGCGUAUGGGAUGAAGUAUUUCGGUAUGUAAACCAUUGUCAGUGGGGACGAAACAAAUGACGGUACCCACAGAGGAAGCAUCGGCUAACUACGUGCCAGCAGCCGCGGUAAUACGUAGGAUGCAAGCGUUGUUCGGAAUUACUGGGCGUAAAGA